rnacentral:rRNA from 1 species
UACGUAGGGGGCAAGCGUUGUCCGGAAUCAUUGGGCGUAAAGAGCGUGUAGGCGGCCCGGUAAGUCCGCUGUGAAAGUCCAGGGCUCAACCCUGGGAUGCCGGUGGAUACUGUCGGGCUCGAGUCCGGAAGAGGCGAGUGGAAUUCCUGGUGUAGCGGUGAAAUGCGCAGAUAUCAGGAGGAACACCGGUGGCGAAGGCGGAUCUCUGGGCCAUUACUGACGCUGAGGAGCGAAAGCGUGGGGAGCGAACAGG